GUUGGCUCUGGCUGGCUUCAGGAGCUGCUUGCUGCCGUGGCGCAGGAAAAAUGGUGGGUGCCACGGCAGAGAGCAGCAAGCAGCUCCUGAAGCCAGCCAGAACCAACU